rnacentral:rRNA from 1 species
GGCAAUGAUAUUAAUGGGGGCCACUGUCUUUUGCCAUGGCAAGGACUACCAUGCAUGCCCAAAGAAUGUGACGGUCUGGGAAUCCUGAACCUCAAAUGGUUUGGUUACGCCCUUCGAUGUCGUUGGCCAUGCAUGCGAUGGGGAGAUGAGGAGAGACCCUGGAGCCUGCAUCCAGAUAAGAUGGAGGAGGUUGCUGCCUUGUUUACAUCAGCGACUGUAGUUCGGCUAGGAGACAGACAAAUGGCUAAGUUUUGGACUGACCAGUGGCUGCCAGGUGGGUGUUCCAGUUGGAUAAGGAAGAUCUCGGUAGGCAUUUCUGCCCAGGCCAUGGCUCAAUAUCUUCAGAUUUGGGACAUUGUUGAAUGUACUAUUCUUUCUGUGGAGGUCCCAGAUAGAUUGAUUUGGAAGUGGAUGGGAGAUCUUAGUUUCUCAGUCAGCAGUGUUUAUGGUAUGUUUUUCGCUGCAAACAUGCGUUUUGCCUGCCAUAAACCAAUUUGGAGAUCCAAAGCUCCACCCAGAUGCAAAUUCUUCCUGUGGCUGGUCAUUCACAAGCGUUGCUUAACUGUUGACAAUGUCGAGCGAAAGGGUUGGCCAUCAAAUGGACCAUGCCCGCUCUGCCGUUCGACACACGAAGAUUGCACACAUAUGUUUUUAUGCUGCCGCUUCUCACAACAGGUGUGGUCCAGCUUUAGGGACUGGACUCGGGUGCCGUUCCCUAUCCCAGAUGAUAGCUUUGGUAGCUCCGAGACCUGGUGGAUCAACGUGUGGAGGGAGAUUCCCAAGACGGCCUGACGGAACUUCGACACGAUAACCAUCCCAAUCCACUGGAGGAUAUGGACGGAUUUUUGA